GGAGCGUAGUAGGCAAUUGUCUCGCGAUUUUUAAUGCUAACUUGCUAAAUGUCAUAAUGGAAAUAGCUCGUGUUGAAUGUGGCGAUCAUACGAGGUUCUAUGCUAUACGAACCUUUUACCUCCGGUGUUUUCCGCAGCAGUCUCUGUAGCCUAUCAUUCUCUUGGUACUCCGCCAUAGGUUUCUCAACUGCCCCGAAAAUCUCGACAGCAGUAGCCAUUAAACGCUCAUUUAAAAACACACGCAGCAACUGUAGUUGAGACAUUUUCAGUCGACUAAGAGUUGGGUAAUCAGUGAGUAUGGCUACGUCAAGGAAAUAAUGGUGGUCACAAACAACAAACCCGCUCCAAAGGUUAUUUCAAGGAUGGAAGCGAGCAUUCCACUCCCUCCGAUUUUUUUGUCCAUAUAUUGUCAGUGAACUAAGCAGACCAGACACAGCUGCCAUAGCAUUGGUGCCUGUGGGAGAGACACCCCUUAAACAGAGUCUUUGUACUGAAUUUAGACGAACUGUUCUAGUAACUACAGGGUCUUGAAACUGGCUUCGAAUGAUUCCUGUGGCCCUGGGGGUUUCAUCAGGCAGUUCAGUUGUUGUUGCUGCUCCCCGGUGUUUGGUGGCUCCGUACUCUACAGUCUCCUCGUUGGGGAUUAGCAACAGCCUCACCAUGUUGUAGUGGCACAUCACUCCUGGGGUCAUCCUGGUCAUCUUGUUCAGAGGAGGGAGUACAGGCUGAGGCUGUUGAAGAGGUGGCUGCAGAACCUAAAGCUAUAUUGACAAUUCACUGUGAAUGAUGUAAAGUCAAAACUAUCACCGUUACUGGUUCUACUAUUACUUGUUCUACUAUUACUGAUGUGGUACGUGCUGCAAUACAUGGCCACAUAAUGAAAGACAAGUGUAAUUUGGAUCGGUCAACAGCACCACGCAGGUUCUGCCCUGACGGAUGGUUCAGCUACCAGUCCAAGUGUUUCAUGUUUGUGAACACUCCUCUGUCUUGCUGACUAAACUCAACUCCAUGGUGAUGGAAGUUUCUGAUGAACUCCAUCAACUACAUUGAUUCUCCCAAGGUCAAAACUUAAAAAAAAUGUGUAGCAGGAAGAUCGGAAUGCUGUGAACCAAGAGGUUGUGAGUUCAAAUUCUAGAAAACUGGAUACGUGAAUGUUCUUGCAACGUUCCCAG